rnacentral:rRNA from 1 species
CCUACGGGGCGCAGCAGUGAGGAAUAUUGGUCAAUGGACGAGAGUCUGAACCAGCCAAGUAGCGUGAAGGAUGACUGCCCUACGGGUUGUAAACUUCUUUUAUCUGGGAAUAAAACGUUCCACGUGUGGGAUUUUGUAUGUACCAUAUGAAUAAGGAUCGGCUAACUCCGUGCCAGCAGCCGCGGUAAUACGGAGGAUCCGAGCGUUAUCCGGAUUUAUUGGGUUUAAAGGGUGCGUAGGUGGAUUGUUAAGUCAGUUGUGAAAGUUUGCGGCUCAACCGUAAAAUUGCAGUUGAAACUGGCAUUCUUGAGUACAGUAGAGGUGUGCGGAAUGCGUGGUGUAGCGGUGAAAUGCAUAGAUAUCACGAAGAACUCCGAUUGCGAAGGCAGUUCACGGGACUGCAACUGACACUGAGGCUCGAAAGUGUGGGUAUCAAACAGGAUUAGAUACCCUUGUAGUC